rnacentral:tRNA from 1 species
GGGCGCGUAGCUCAGUUGGUAGAGCAGCUGACUCUUAAUCAGCGGGUCCCAGGUUCGAGUCCUGGUGCGCCCACCA